rnacentral:lncRNA from 1 species
UUGUAUUACAUUUAUGAAUUUAUUAUAUAAUUGUGCAACAUAGUAAAAUAAUGAUGUGACAGUUGCGUAAUAGUGCAAUAACGUACCAUCCAUACCAAUCAGCGGCAUGCAGUGCUUCCUGAAUGCUCGAAUCGUUGCACCGAAUGCCUAGAAAAAACGGUGAAAAUGACCCUCGUCCUGGUAAAGUAAUUGGAGACAUGUUUCCGCAUCUCCACUCCUCAACUCUUGCAUGUACGAGGGAAGUAGAGCGAACGAGCCCUCGAAAUCGCCG